GCCACUGUUCGGGCCAGGCUGAUAAAACAAGUUUGUUGCCUUGCAUUGAAGUCUUUCAUUUCGUUGCGUUGUGCGUUCCGUUUAGUGCUGUACAGCAGCGUACACUCUGCAAAUCUCAUUGAUUGCCACACCAACACUUAUCCACUCGCAGCGAUUAUGAUAUCUGCCGCUGGUGUUUCUUUCGUGGUUGUUGUGGCAAGUGACUCACGGGGUGGUUGCCAAACCCAGCACAACAACCACAUUUACAUAUACAUCGCCAACGAUCGACGACAGGUUGCAGUCUAAGAAUGUAUGCAAACUUGACAGCUCCAGCGAUCGCAAAUUAUUGUUAUUACCGAUGGAGCUUUGAUGCCGGAAUUGCGAAAGGUUUAUGUUGCUGCAUGCCCAGAAUCGGAAUCUUGCCAAACACCCGGGCAUCAGCAUAAACGGUAUCUGGGAAAUGCGAGAAACCAGCUGCGAAAAUACCAAACUCCAGAAAUUUCCAUUCUGCUAGGGGGAAACCAAUGAAACUAAUGCAAUUCAAUAAAUUGCCCGGCUAAUUAUACACAGGCGGAGUUCUACGAAGAAGUAGUGAAAAUAUAACCCAGGUGAAUCAGACUUACUAUGCAGAAUGUCGGCCACCUGCAUGACCAACAAUCAGUGAUCCAUCAAGGGGGCAGGAAAAGGUUUGGAGCACUUUCGGAACCGUUUGACUUCGGGCUAAUAUUUUGAUGUAUUCGGAAGUGUUUGGCACUUGACUGCCCGGCAACCAGGUUGAUAAGCCAGCUCAAUUGGGAGAUAAGAUUCCUGUAAGCGGUCGUUAAGGAAGUGCUCACUAGCAGAUAAUGAGCGACACAAGCCAACAGUGACUUUGGCGUAACGAUCUAAACGAACUUCGUUAACUUAGGUCGCCACUUAGGCUGUUAGCCGAACUUGAGGACUGAGCACUAUGGAGUUUAGAUCGCAAAAAUGGAAGUGCACAGGUGUUCAGGGCAUACUAUUCUCACAGUGAUCAAAACAAUAAAGCCUGUUUCUGGACCCACACCGGUGGCAACAAUGAAGACAGUCUAACUCGAUAGUAAUGAUACGCGGUCGGAGCUGGAGCGGUGCGAUCAGC